rnacentral:rRNA from 1 species
UGAGUACGGCGAGCGAAAAGGGAGGAGCCCAGCGCCGAAUCCUCGAUCUUCGGUCGCAGGAAAUGUGGCGUUUAGGAGUGAGCGUGCCGGGUUCGGAACGGGCGGCAAGUCCCCCUGACCGGGGCCUGUCCAUAGCGGGUGCGAGGCCCAUAGCCGCCCGUCCCGUCUCGGAUGCGAUCUCCUUGGAGUCGGGUUGCUUGGGAGUGCAGCCCUAAUCGGGUGGUAAACUCCACCUAAGGCUAAAUACCGCCGUGAGACCGAUAGCAAACAAGUACCGUGAGGGAAAGUUGCAAAGAACUUUGAAGAGAGAGUUCAAGAGUACGUGAAACUGCUCAGAGGUAAACGGGUGGGCCCUCGAAAUCCUGUGGCGAGAGGAUUCAGUCUGGCGCCGGGGACUCGGAGUCGGAAGUUCGAGCAGGGCUUCCCGAGACCGGGGCCGUCCGACACCGWGGCCUCCUCGGUUCCAGACGCAUUUGUCUCUCGUCCGAAGGACGCUGCAGCCGGUCGGGCAGUGCAAGCGUGUCGGCCUGAAAGUGGGGAGCUGGCAGGUGGCCGGUGGCGCGCCUCGUGUGCGUCGCCGGUUGUUAGCCGUCCCCUCGGUGGCUCGACGCCCGACCGUGGUGUCGCGAGGCCCUUAACGGGCCUCAUCGUCUCCUCCCAGAGUUGCGGGGCAGACGGUCGCAGGCGAACUCCGCCGUCCCGUCGCACUCCCUCGGAGUGGACGGGCGAACGUAGCGCGCCGUUGGCGAUCGCGGACCCGCGGGGGACCGGAGGCUCGCAGCGAGUAGGUCGGUCACCCACCCGACCCGUCUUGAAACACGGAC